UUCUUCUUUUUGGUCCAUUUUUAAACAUAAAGCUUCAUGUCCAUCUGUGUGAGGAGCUCAGAGCAGAGCAGAGCUCCUCUUUACAUUAUGGAUCUUCACUCUUUGUUGGAUUUUUAAACUUUUUUGAGGAUAUACUUUGAAUUGAAUAUAAAAAAUGUAAUUCUCUUUAUAAAAAUAUGUCAGUGCUGUGAUUGGAGGAGCUGAUCACCUGCAGCAUGUGAGCCAAUCAGCAUCAACAAUUUAGUGAAUGUUAUAAAUAAUCCUUUUUCACUAAUAGAACAUCACAAUAAUCCAUUAUUGGUCUUUUUGAAAUUUGGGGCGUGUCCAUCUGAUUCAGCCAGCUAAUCAGAAGUCUUCCUUUGCUCCAGUCCCAGCAGGAGGAAAUGCAAGAAGGACUGUGACGGCACUCGUCUGUGAUUGGUGGCUUCAUCUUCUACUAUAUAAUCCUCCUUCUUCAGGAUUGGUCUUUUUCUUCCUCCACCUGCACUAGGAGCCAAUCAGCAAUCAGUUCUCAUCAGUCUCUACAGUUUAAAGGAUCUCAGGGGAUCUGACGAGCAGGUUCCCCCACUUCAGGUGUUUAGACUAGACUAGACUAGACUAGACUAGUACACUAGACUAGACUAGUACACUAGACUAGACUAGACUAGACUAGACUAGACUAGUACACUAGACUAGACUAGUACACUAGACUAGACUAGUACACUAGACUAGACUAGACUAGUACACUAGACUAGACUAGACUAGACUAGACUAGACUAGUACACUAGACUAGACUAGACUAGUACACUAGACUAGACUAGACUAGACUAGACUAGACUAGACUAGACUAGUACACUAGACUAGACUAGUACACUAGACUAGACUAGACUAGACUAGACUAGUACACUAGACUAGACUAGUACACUAGACUAGACUAGUACACUAGACUAGACUAGUACACUAGACUAGACUAGACUAGACUAGUACACUAGACUAGACUAGUACACUAGACUAGACUAGUACACUAGACUAGACUAGACUAGACUAGACUAGACUAGUACACUAGACUAGACUAGUACACUAGACUAGACUAGACUAGACUAGACUAGUACACUAGACUAGACUAGUACACUAGACUAGACUAGACUAGACUAGACUAGUACACUAGACUAGACUAGUACACUAGACUAGACUAGUACACUAGACUAGACUAGACUAGUACACUAGACUAGACUAGACUAGACUAGUACACUAGACUAGACUAGACUAGACUAGUACACUAGACUAGACUAGAAUAGACUAGAAUAGAAUAGAAUAGAAUAGAAUAGAAUAGAAUAGAAUAGAAUAGACUAGACUAGACUAGACUAGUACACUAGACUAGACUAGACUAGACUAGACUAGUACACUAGACUAGUACACUAGACUAGACUAGACUAGACUAGUACACUAGACUAGACUAGACUAGACUAGACUAGACUAGAAUAGAAUAGAAUAGAAUAGACUAGACUAGU
rnacentral:lncRNA from 1 species